rnacentral:rRNA from 1 species
UCUGGCUCUUUUAAGUCCGAGUUGUAAUUUGCAGAGGGCGCUUUGGCGUUGGCAGCGGUCCAAGUUCUUUGGAACAGGACGUCACAGAGGGUGAGAAUCCCGUACGUGGUCGCUAUCCUUCGCCGUGUAAAGCCCCUUCGACGAGUCGAGUUGUUUGGGAAUGCAGCUCUAAAUGGGAGGUAAAUUUCUUCUAAAGCUAAAUACUGGCCAGAGACCGAUAGCGCACAAGUAGAGUGAUCGAAAGAUGAAAAGCACUUUGGAAAGAGAGUCAAAUAGCACGUGAAAUUGUUGAAAGGGAAGCGCUUGCAGCCAGACUUGCUCGCAGUUGCUUAUCCGGGCUCUUGCCCGGUGCACUCUUCUGCGGGCAGGCCAGCAUCAGUUUGGGCGGUUAGAUAAAGGCCUCUGUCAUGUACCUCUCUUCGGGGAGGCCUUAUAGGGGAGGCGACAUGUAACCAGCCCGGACUGAGGUCCGCGCAUCUGCUAGGAUGCUGGCGUAAUGGCUGUAAGCGGCCCGUCUUGAAACACGGACCAAGGAGUCUAACAUCUAUGCGAGUGUUUGGGUGUCAAGCCCAGACGCGUAAUGAAAGUGAACGGAGGUAGGAACCCUUUGGGGUGCACUAUCGACCGAUCCUGAUGUCUUCGGAAGGAUUUGAGUAAGAGCAUGGCUGUUGGGACCCGAAAGAUGGUGAACUAUGCUUGAAUAGGGUGAAGCCAGAGGAAACUCUGGUGGAGGCUCGCAGCGGUUCUGACGUGCAAAUCGAUCGUCAAAUUUGGGCAUAGGGGCGAAAGACUAAUCGAACUAUCUAGUAGCUGGUUCUGCCGAGAUUUUCCCUCAGGA